rnacentral:tRNA from 1 species
GGCGCUGUAGCUCAGUUGGUUAGAGCGCCUGCCUGUCACGCAGGAGGUCGUGGGUUCGAGUCCCAUCAGCGUCGCCA